CCAAAUCUCGACCUAGGUCAUUAUUUAUCAAACAUCAGUAGACACUGUCCAUGUUGUAUCUUUGCAGGAUUCAAACGCGAGUUAAAGCAACCCUGGUCUCAAGGAGCUCUCUGCAUAGUGUAGGGAAAGAGCUAUACAACCACGAUGCUAUACAGAACAUAAGCCGUUGGUACCACUAAAGGUAAGCAGUGUGAUGUUUGGGAAAUCCUUUCCAGUCGUUUCUUUAUUGGCUAUUUUUUUUCUCUUUCUGCUCUCUUUGACCAUUUUUAGUGAAUCUCGAAGGGGCAGAAGGAAACUACCUACAAAGUUUGUGUGUGGGAGGAACAUCGGUCAGAAAGCAACAAGAAGGGGGAAAUCAGCCCCUCCUAUCCGUGGAGGGUAACAAACCCAAGAAGCGGAUGAAGGAUGUAAUAAAGUAGGACACCUGCGUCGCCCACCGUCUCUCCCUGGGUAAAAAUCCAGAUCUCCUGAGGCCACUGGCUCGGACUCGGGGAGCGGAGCACCUGGUGGAGCCUGGGCGGAGCUGGAGCCUGGAUCCGGGAGGAUUGCGCGCUCCCAUCCAGCCCGGAUGGGGUUGGGGACGAGCACACAGAGCACACCGUGAAGGGACAAGGGCCAAAGGCAGCACAAAGAUUUGGGGCAGAGAUCCUGGACAGCACCUUCCUUGCCAAAUCCAAAUCACACCCAGUUCCCUGCAAACUACUCACGAGUCCUUCGUAGAAGUGGCGCCCUCUGGAGGACAAGAAUAGAGGGGUGGAACUGGAAGACAGCAAAACAGAAAUAAGAGCACCUGAGUAUUUACCCCAAACAGACCACUCCAAGUAAAAGGCAGGGAGAAAUUGCAAAUUGUACGCAAGCUAAAGUCAAUGCCAAUCCAUCUUUCGCACACCUCACUUCCAACUACCCUGCAGGAUGGAGAUGUAUUUUGGAGAAAUAAAGCAGAUGGAUUGUUUAAGUGGUUCCAAAGAAGCUGCAUUUUCUUCCCAAGUGUUUUUGUGAACACUUCGGAAGCAAAGACUGCUGCUUACCAUUACAUGUUUUCAUUUCUACUUCCCAAUUUUCCCUGCAUGAACAAGGCAAAAAAGUACCCCUUUUUAUCGUCAUAUAUGCAUAACUCAAUUUCUGGACAUUUGCAUUUUAUUAUUCUAAUCAUUCCAUGUUGUCUAAUAAAGAUCAGAAUGUCACCUUUUUCUGCCUUUGCUUACCUCUUUUGAUGAU
rnacentral:lncRNA from 1 species